GACUCAGUGGUCUAAUGGUAAAGCGUUUACCGCCGAUCCAGAGGGUUCUGGGUUCGAUCCCCAACGAGGUCG
rnacentral:tRNA from 1 species